rnacentral:tRNA from 1 species
CGGAGUGUAGGAAAGUCUGGUAAUCCGCCUGCUUUGGGAGCAGGAGAUCGGGAGUUCGAAUCUCUCCGCUCCGACCA